UUCGAACCUGCAGCAGGUUUGAGUUGAGCGCAGCGAAACAACGGAGCCGCUCGCGGCGACGGCCCGAAGGGCGAGCGAAGCGAGUCAUCCUGCACGACCCACCA
rnacentral:sRNA from 2 species